rnacentral:misc_RNA from 1 species
CACCAAAGAAAACCCACUUCAAUGUAAUCUCUGUUUGUUUCUUUGUUUUUAAUUUUUCUUUUGCAAUAUCUAUUCAGGUUGAAGUUUUAAUUAUACAAAGGUGGCGCUUUGCUUGUUGAAAUAUGAUUUAUAUAUCUCUUUGACUGGUGGGGAACUUCUAAAACCGUGUCUAUUAUAGUUUAUUAUCUGUUGCUUGAUGUGCUGUUUAAGUGUUUGAUAAAAGUUCCUCUUUUUUCGGUGUGUGUGUUUAAAGUGUUUUCCCCCCGCUCUACUGGGUUAAUGGAGCCUGGCGAAGUGAAUUGAAUUAUUUAAUAACCAAUGAUAUUAAGCGGGCUCUAGAGUAAUUGCACCAUAUGGUAAGGAAAAACAAGUGAAGGAAAGAAAGAUAAACUGAGUUUUCUUUGUCACAUAACAUUCCCUGAGAAUUGACAAUUCGGUCAUCUUUCAUCUCAUGACUAUAUUACUUGUAAUUGAACCGCCAUUUCUCAGUUUUACACUAUGUUAUAUCAUUUGGAGAUUGUGCACUCUCUCUCCCCCUUUGUCAAGGUGAAUGUAGAACUUUGGUUCUUAUUUCACAGGUUAAAGGUGCUAUUAGUUUUACCCUUUCGAGCUUUUUCAAUGGAUUCACUACUUUACAUUUUUAUGCCUUCUUUGCUCAAUUUCGUUUUAAUAUUGCAGAUGAAACAACUGAAGAGGGAGAAA